rnacentral:rRNA from 1 species
UACUAAAAACUAAAUUUUACUAUAAUUAUAUAAAUAAAAAAUAAUAUUAAAAAAUAAUUUAAAAUAUUUAAGACCUAGUAUAAUUUAUAUAAAUAACUAAUUAAGUAAUAGUUAAAUAGUAUUGUAAAAGAAAAUUUAAAUAAUUUAUAUUUUAUAUUUUUUUAAAGAAAUAAUAAAUAUUUGUAUCUUGUGUAUUAUAAAAAAUCAAAAUAAUAUUUAUAUAAAUUUAUCUCGAAAAAAGAAUAGCUAAAUUAAUAUAAAAUUUUUUAUAUCAAUAAAAUUUAUAAUAUUAAUUUUAGAAAUGAAAAAUUAAUCGAAUCUUUAUAUCUAGUUUUUAUUAAAAUGAAUUUAAUUCAACUUAUAUUUUAUAAAUAAAUAUAAAUAAAGAAAAUAAAAGUAAAGUUUUAUUUUCAAUAAUUAAAAUAAUAUGAAAAUUAAAUAAAAAAAAUAAUAAUUAGGACUUAAAGUCUCCAUAUUUAUAAAGUAUUUUAACUAAUAAUUAACUUUAAAUAAUUUAUUUUAUUUUCUAUUUCUACUAAAUAAAAUUAAUUUUUUCUUUAAUAUUUUUAAUUAUAAUGAUUUUAUUAGUAUAUAAAAAUAUUAAAAAUAAUAAUAUAAAUUAAUAUAAACUUUAUAAUUAUUUUUUUUUAUUUAAAAAAGAAACUCAGCAAAAAUUUUUUCCGCCUGUUUAACAAAAACAUGGCUUUAUGUAUUUAUAUAAAGUCUAACCUGCCCACUGAAAAUUUUUAAAGGGCCGCAGUAUCUUAACUGUGCAAAGGUAGCAUAAUCACUUGUCUUUUAAUUGAAGGCUUGAAUGAACGGUAGAACGAGAAAUAAUCUGUCUCUUUUAAAAAAAUUGAAUUUUACUUUUAAAUGAAAAGGUUUAAAUAAAUUAAAAAGACGAUAAGACCCUAUAAAUCUUUAUAUUAAUAAUUAUUUUUUUUAAUUAUAAAUAAAUAAAAAAUAAUAAUUAUAAUAUUUUAUUGGGGAGAUAUAAAUAUAAUUUUUAACUAUUUUAUUUUUAUAACAAUAAUAUUUGAUUUAUUAUAAUGAUCCUUUUUAAAGAUUACAAAAUUAAGUUACUUUAGGGAUAACAGCGUUAUCUUUUUUAAGAGUCCAUAUCGAAAAAAAAGUUUGCGACCUCGAUGUUGAAUUAAAAGAAUCCACAUAAACGCAAAAGUUAUAAAGGAAAGUCUGUUCGACUUUUAAAAUUUUACAUGAUUUGAGUUCAGACCGGCGUAAGCCAGGUCGGUUUCUAUCUUUUAAUAAUAAUAAAUUAUUUUAGUACGAAAGGAUUAAAUAAUUAAAAUAUUUUUAUAAUAAAGAUUAAUAUUACUUCUUAAAAAAAUAAAUAUUAUAUAUAAUAUAUAUAUAU